AUGAUUGAACAUUCAAAACAUGCUUCACUUAACCACCAACCAAAUAUGAUGCAACAUUUGUUUCUUCACGAGAUGAAUUAUUUAUGGAUUUUUUGUAUAUCAUCAUAUUCUUCAGCAGCUUCUUUGAUUGUCUCCAAACUAGGAGAACUUGAAGGUUUUCUUGGGAAAAUUAUGGCUGCAGGAGCAACCUCCAUCCAAGAAUUUAUAUUUCUUAUUCCUUUUACCAUUGAUGGGGAUAGUAUAAAUUGUUGA